rnacentral:rRNA from 1 species
UACAUGGGGUGCAAACGUUGCUCGGAAUUAUUGGGCGUAAAGCGCACGUAGGCGGUUCGUUAAGUCGGAUGUGAAAGCCCUCGGCUCAACUGAGGAAGUGCACCCGAAACUGGCGAGCUUGAGUACGAAAGAGGAUCGCGGAAUUCCCGGUGUAGAGGUGAAAUUCGUAGAUAUCGGGAGGAACACCAGUGGCGAAGGCGACUCACUGGCCCGUUACUGACGCUGAGGCGCGAAAGCGUGGGGAGCAAACAGG